CAGUCGCCGCGGUAAUACGUAGGGUGCAAGCGUUAAUCGGAAUUACUGGGCGUAAAGCGUGCGCAGGCGGUUAUAUAAGACAGAUGUGAAAUCCCCGGGCUCAACCUGGGAACUGCAUUUGUGACUGUAUAGCUAGAGUACGGCAGAGGGGGAUGGAAUUCCGCGUGUAGCAGUGAAAUGCGUAGAUAUGCGGAGGAACACCGAUGGCGAAGGCAAUCCCCUGGGCCUGUACUGACGCUCAUGCACGAAAGCGUGGGGAGAAAACAGGAUUAGAUACCCCGGUAGUCCCUGUCUCUUAUAC
rnacentral:rRNA from 1 species